ACGUCUCACAAGAUUUUCCUUAUAUCAAUAACCUCGCGUGUGAUUGGAGGAGCCCGACAGGCUUCUCGCCUUCGUCCAAUCGCGUGCGAGGUCAUGGCCACGGCUCACACAGCAGUACAAGAGGACCAUUAAGCGAUGUUUGGUUUGGUGUUUGUAACUCUCCAAGAAGAGAAGACGGGUGCACAAUCCCAAGAUUGCGGAGGCUGUACGGCGUCUCUGAGGCACACUGCAGGCGCUUUGAACCAGAGCAAAGACUAACGUCGCCUCAUAACGAAGCCGUGACCUCCUAUUUGGUUGGGGCUAUUUUAGCAAGUCCACAUUUAACUGCUGAGAAUGACGACAUUGUUUCUGCCUGUAAGACGUAUUAUGAGUCGGUUCGCCGGAGCUUCAGAUACAAACAACCUGAACUCGCAUCGCGGGCGGAAAAUGCGAAAAGUUUAGCUCGGAGUCGAUCCAGAAGAAAAAGGUUGCUGGAAGCGAGACGAAGUGUGCUGGCUGAGGGUGAGAUGGACAUUUGAAAGUGCGCCACCAUAGAUCUCAUGUCUGAUGAAGACGGCAUUGUUGACGGGGUGUCUGGAUGGAUUGUACGGCCACCGCCCUCUCGCAGCCUGGAACUCUCCGAGCUCUGUGCCACGCUGCAAUUCAGAUUAGAGGCGAUACCAAAGUACAGGGGAACUCACCAUAUAUGCCUGCAAAAGCGACUUUUUACAACGUUUUUGAGUUUUCUUUUUCUUUUUUCAACACUUGAGAACUUUGAAAAAGAUUUUUAGGGAUCUUUCCCGAAUGUCUUGGGCACUUUUUGACGUGUUUGGAGGACAACAUAAGAGACAUUAUGCUGCUUUGUACAUAGUUGUGUGUUUCUAAUUAAAGCUCUUUCUUUGAAUAAACAGCUGUGUGUUUAUAAAUAAA